UACGUAGGAGGCAAGCGUUGUCCGGAUUUACUGGGCGUAAAGAGCGUGUAGGCGGCAUGGUAAGUCUGCUGUGAAAGCUCCGCGCUUAACGCGGAGAGGUCGGUGGAAACUGCCAGGCUAGAGGACGGUAGAGGGGGGUGGAAUUCCCGGUGUAGUGGUGAAAUGCGUAGAUAUCGGGAGGAACACCAGUGGCGAAGGCGGCCCCCUGGGCCGCUCCUGACGCUGAGACGCGAAGGCCAGGGUAGCGAACGGG
rnacentral:rRNA from 1 species